rnacentral:rRNA from 1 species
GUGGGGAAUCUUGCGCAAUGGGCGAAAGCCUGACGCAGCCAUGCCGCGUGAAUGAUGAAGGUCUUAGGAUUGUAAAAUUCUUUCACCGGGGACGAUAAUGACGGUACCCGGAGAAGAAGCUCCGGCUAACUUCGUGCCAGCAGCCGCGGUAAUACGAAGGGGGCUAGCGUUGCUCGGAAUUACUGGGCGUAAAGGGCGCGUAGGCGGACAGCUUAGUCAGAGGUGAAAGCCCAGGGCUCAACCUUGGAAUUGCCUUUGAUACUGACUGUCUUGAGUUUGGGAGAGGUGAGUGGAACUCCGAGUGUAGAGGUGAAAUUCGUAGAUAUUCGGAAGAACACCAGUGGCGAAGGCGACUCACUGGCCCAAUACUGACGCUGAGGCGCGAAAGCGUGGGGAGCAAACAGGAUUAGAUACCCGGGUAGUCC